ensembl:rRNA 5S_rRNA 5S ribosomal RNA
UCAUAUUACAUUUCCCAAAUUUUUAAAUAAUUUUGUCUUGUCUGAUCUCGGAAGCUAAGGAGGGUCGGGCCUGGUUAGUACUUGGAUGGGAGACCACCUAGAAAGACCAGGUGCUAUAAGUG